GGCCCCAUGGGCUGGGUGGCCUCACCAUCACCCUUCCCUUCUGAUGCAGGUACUUCGGGAGCGCAUGGGUGUACGCUGUUUCCUGGGUCUCACAGCCACAGCCACACGCAGGACUGCUCGUGAUGUAGCCCAGCACCUGGGUGUAGCCGAGGAGCUUGGCCGGGGUGGGCCAGCCCCCAUCCCUGCCAACUUGCACCUGUCUGUGUCUGUAGACAGGAACCCACACCAGGUAGGUGUGCACAUAGCAGGGUCCUGGGCAGAGAGCCCACAUCCUGCCUGGCCAGUGACCACUGCUCCCUGCCAGGCUCUGGUGACGCUGCUGCAGGGUGACCGCUUUCGUGCCCUGGAUUCAAUCAUCAUUUACUGCAACCGACGGGAGGACACAGAGCGAGUUGCUGCACUUCUCCGAACCUGCCUGUGUGCAGGGCAGGACCCAGGCUCUAGAGGUAGGGCACCACAGGGUAGGCCCCAGGGCCACCCCGUGUGCCAGCCCUGAUGCCACCAGCCAUCUCUCCAUCUUCCCCAAGGUCAUGCCCCAGAGACUGUAGCUGCAGCUUAUCAUGCUGGCAUGUGCACCCGGGAGCGGCAGCGAGUGCAGCGGGCCUUCAUGCAAGGCCAUCUCCGGGUGGUGGUGGCCACCGUGGCCUUUGGCAUGGGACUAGACAGGACAGAUGUGCGGGCCGUGCUGCACCUGGGGAUGCCCCCAAGCUUUGAGAGCUAUGUGCAGGCUGUGGGCCGCGCUGGACGUGAUGGGCAGCCUGCCCAUUGCCACCUCUUCCUGCAGCCUCAGGUUGGCACCCUGCCAUCCCUCACACCAGGCCAGCCCCUGGUGCCCUGGCCACACACAGACUCAUAGCUCUGCUUCUACAGGGCAAGGACCUGCAGGAGCUGCGUAGACAUGUGCACGCCAACGGUGCCGAUUUCUUGGCCCUGAAAAAGCUGGCACAACGCCUGUUUCCACCCUGCUCCUGUACGCCACAGCCUCCAGAGCAGGAAGGAGGCAGGAAUGGGAUGAGGCCCGCAGCUGGGGCCCCCCUGCAGGAGGCCAAGCAGCACAGUGGCCACUCAGCUGCCCCAGUGCGGGGACAGGUCUGCCCUGGCCAUGCCCGAGCACUCCCAAUACAGCACAUAGUGCAGGCCCUGGACAUGCCAGAAGAGGGUAAGGGCCGGGAAGACGGGGGAGGGGGGCUGUCCCCACACCACCUGAGCCCACUCCCCCCUACAGCCAUUGAGACCCUGCUGUGCUACCUGGAGCUGCAUCCCCGGCACUGGCUGGAGCUGCUGCCAACCACCUAUUCCCGCUGUCACCUGCGCUGCCCUGGGGGCCCCACCCAGCUCCAGGCCCUGGCCCACAAGUGAGUACACAGCACCCUGGGUCAGGGAUAUGGACAGAGGGCCAGGGAUGCUAGUCACAUGCCCCUUUCCUCUGGAGCACAGGUGUCCUCUUGCAGCUGCAUGCUGGGCCAGGUGGCCACCUGAGGACAUGGGGCCAGGCAGCAGCUCCAUGGAAUUUGAUGUGGUAGAGCUGGUGAACUCGAUGGGCUGGGAGCUGGCAUCUGUGCAGCAGGCUCUCCGUCAGCUGCAGUGGGACCCAGAGCCCAGGACAGGUGUGCUUGCCCCUACUCCCCCACCCGACUGCCGGCCACCCAUCCACCCUCCCACCCAUCCACCCUACACCUGAUACACUCUGGCAGGUGUGCUGCAGGGAACAGGGGUGAUUGUGGAGUUCAGGGAGCUGGCGUUCCACCUGCGCAGCCCUGGUGAUCUGACUGCUGAGGAGAGGGACGAGGUAUGCGACUUUCUGUUCAACCGUGUGCAGGCCCAAGAGCGCAAGGCCCUGGCACAUCUGCGCCGAAUGUCUGAGGCCUU
rnacentral:lncRNA from 1 species